AGGUUAUUAGCUCAAAUGGUAGAGCAAUGUACAAUAUUGUACAUGGUGUGGGUUCAAGUCCCACAUAGCAUA
rnacentral:tRNA from 1 species